rnacentral:misc_RNA from 1 species
GAAAGCUUGAAGAAAGCAACUAUUUCCCUUUGUUUCUUCUUCGUUCUCUUCAGCUUCUCAGAAUCUUCUAGAUCCAUCCUUCACCAGCCUCAGCCUCACCCUCUUGAAUCAUUCAAAAUCAACAAUACCCAGAAUGCAAGGAGCUGUUCGUACACGGUAAUAAUAAAAACAAGUUGUUCAUCGCCUGCUUAUACUCGAGACCAUAUCAGUAUUGCAUUUGGAGAUGCAUAUGGGAAUCAGGUCUACGUACCGAGGAUCGAUGAUCCGUCUUCAAGGGCAUUUGAGCGUUGCUCUACAGACAGAUAUGACUUAAGGGGACCAUGCACGUACCAGAUAUGCUACGUAUACCUCUACAGGAGCGGAUACGAUGGAUGG